rnacentral:tmRNA from 1 species
CCACUUCACAUUAAGGGGCGCAUCGCUAUAUGGGGUUUGCCGGUUUCGACCGGCUAUGGCGAUAAAGUGCGGCGUGCAAUAGACACAACGGACCCGGGGGCAGUACCCGGCGGCUCCACCAAAAAUCGCGGGAAACCGCGCUUUCUGACGGGGCCGAACCAGGAUCGACGUGUGUUGAAAGACGCAGUUUUCGCUCGGGCUGAGUAUCCCGUAAAAAUGUUCACAACACACAAGUGCCAACGACAACGAAGCACUCGCACUCGCUGCGUAAUUUGAUGGCCUAACGGCCUGAAUUUACAAAGCUAAAGCGCGGUUGGGCCCACCGGGCAACAGAAGCGGAUUCCG